AGUCAGUUAAAGAAUAAAAAAACAUAUUUAGAUCAAGAGUAAUUCUAUUUUUAAUAGAGAAAGACAUUAGAGAGAGAAAAAAUGCCUCAGCUUCAAAGGGUUGAAGGCCAAACAGAGCUCAAAUGUGAUGCAAACAAGUUUUUUGAAUUUGGGUUCACAAACCAUUCCUUGUACCUAAGGUGUGCCCCAACAAAUUUCAAAAAGUUGAGCUAAGUGAGGGAGAGUGUUGGGAUAGAGUUGGUGCUGUCAUAACAUGGUAUUAUGUUAUUGAUGAAGUCGGGGAACAAGCAAUCGUCACGACGAAAAUUGAAGAGCUUAACGACGAAAAGAGGUGUGUAAGGUACAGCCACCUUGGAGGACAAAUAUUAGAGAAGUACUGCAAAGAGACAUUAAUGUCAAAUAUUCAAGCAAUUCCAAAGGAUGAGGGUUGUACUGUAACUUGGAGCUUUGACUAUGAGAAGGUGAACGAGAAUGUUCCUGAACCUGAUAUUUACGCCAACUAUCUUCUUGGCGUUGCUAAAGAUAUUGGUGCUUCUCUUUGCAAUGCUUGAUCAAUGGCAUAUAUAUCAACGCAUAUUUAUCUUGACGUAAUGAACGCACAUCAUUUCGGUGUUGUUCAUUACGUACUAUAUAUAUGUUAAGUCAUCCGUUACUCGAACUUAAGAUACUAACUCCGUUACAUAUUAUUUGUAACAAUUAGACAUUUUUCCUCUCUAGUUUAUGUCAAAUUGUUGCAAAUAAUAUGUAGCGGAGGUAGUAUCUAUUAUUACUACAAAAAUGUUGAUAAUGGUGUUUAUUGCUAUUGUUGGCUGUAUGCUAUUUAAUAUAUAAGGUUCAUACUGUUAUAAAUAUCGCAUGCAUGUAUGUGUGAGGAGCUUUAUUUAAAUAAAUAAACUCUCCAUCUUUUAUUGUAA